AACCCAUAGUGAGGGCACCUUCUCAAUAAAUCCUUGUAUCUUUCCCAUGCAUCAUAAAGUGUUUCUAAAUCCAUCUGCACAAAAGAAGAGACAUCAUUCCUCAACUU
rfam:Gossypium arboreum cultivar AKA8401 contig_56001_3, whole genome shotgun sequence.